rnacentral:rRNA from 1 species
GAUGAACGCUGGCGGCGUGCCUAAUACAUGCAAGUCGAGCGAACGGACGAGAAGCUUGCUUCUCUGAUGUUAGCGGCGGACGGGUGAGUAACACGUGGAUAACCUACCUAUAAGACUGGGAUAACUUCGGGAAACCGGAGCUAAUACCGGAUAAUAUUUUGAACCGCAUGGUUCAAAAGUGAAAGACGGUCUUGCUGUCACUUAUAGAUGGAUCCGCGCUGCAUUAGCUAGUUGGUAAGGUAACGGCUUACCAAGGCAACGAUGCAUAGCCGACCUGAGAGGAUGAUCGGCCACACUGGAACUGAGACACGGUCCAGACUCCUACGGGAGGCAGCAGUAGGGAAUCUUCCGCAAUGGGCGAAAGCCUGACGGAGCAACGCCGCGUGAGUGAUGAAGGUCUUCGGAUCGUAAAGCUCUGUUAUUAGGGAAGAACAUAUGUGUAAGUAACUGUGCACAUCUUGACGGUACCUAAUCAGAAAGCCACGGCUAACUACGUG